GUAUUAGUUUUACCAAAUAUCAAAAUACUAAAAUUGGAACCAUACAGAGAAGAUUAGCAUGGCCCCUGCGCAAGUUGCUCUUUGAAGUUGUUCUCUGGGCCUGAUGUUU
ensembl:snRNA U6 U6 spliceosomal RNA